UACACAGUAGGGAGUGGUAAGUUGAUUUAUAACAAUAUAAACAAGUCAUUAAGUCAGCAUAUUAUGAAGUGAUGAAUCAUUUGUGCAUUUGGUUAGCUGUUUAUGGAAAUAAAUUGUAUACUCUCUAUUACAGCAUAGAUUUGUAUCUCAUAAAUCCUGAUUUCUUAUGUCUUGUGCUAAAAGAAGAUGCUGGUUGAGAUCUGCACCGUGGCUAUCUGCUGGGUCAUAACAGCAAGCUGUAGUCAGUGCAUAGGUACAGUAUAAUGCUCUACGACUUGACAAAAGAGUAUAGUAACAUGUUUUGGAAUAAGAUUACUCUCUUUGUAAGCUUUGGCGAGUCAAUUGUUAAAUGUAUUACUAUACUGGACAUUUUUAGAGCCUCGUGAGACAGGUACAAACUUCUCCAUCACAGUGACCCAAGACGUUACAGUAGAGGCUGGACGGUGCAUUCCUAUAGCAUGUAAAUUCACAUACCCAGGCAAUAUUACUGAAUACGUACGAAGAGUCUGGUUCAAAGGAGAUGCACUUACACCUGUAUUUGAAAAAGAUGCAGAGGUGUGCGGUGUUGAUUGGCAGUUCCUGAGAGGUCCUGAAAGGUCUUGCAGCUUUUUCCUCGAAGACCAACAAGAAGGAGAAAAGGAGUAUAGAUUCAAGUUAACAUGGGGAGAUGAUCAAAUGUAUGUUUUUCCUGAGAGGGUACGAGUCUCAGUGUCUGCUCUAACCCAGAAGAAGCCCACUGUGGAGACACCCCCUCUCACAGAGGGAGAGAGGGCCACACUGACCUGCAAAGUAUAUUCACUCAAACUAAAUGACCUCUGCCCGCAAAGACUAGAAGAAGAUUUUGUUGGAAUAGACUGGAGAGGGACAGAGAACUUAGGCAUGUAUUGGGGGAGAAUGGAGCCAUCAACAGCAGAAAAUGUAUUCAGUGUGGCUGAGUUGUCUUUCACUCCUAAAUCCGAACAUCACAACAUCAACCUCACAUGUAUGGGCAUCUACAAGAAGGCCAACAUUACUGUGGAGAAAACGGUGACUUUAACAGUAAAAUACCGUCCCAAGUUCCUGAAUGGCUCGGUGUGUGUGGUCCAGGCAGAGGUCCUGACCUGUGUGUGUGUCAGUCAGGGGGGUUCCCUUACCAGUGAUUGCUUGGCCAAUGGUAGGGGUCUAUAUUAGUUACAGUGUCAUCGUCUCCAGGAGUGCCCAAACCGUGAACAGCACCAUCACCAUGUCUGCCUCAGAAUACAAGAACAGCAGCGUGGAGUGUGUCAGCAGAAAUGUAAUUGGCCAGAUCGAGAUGGAAUUCCCCAUACUACACCAAGCCGAAGGGAGCCUGACACAUAUCCCUGGGUCAGAGAAGAGGGAUGUUGCAGUCUUUCCCUGGAUAAUCGUUGGCUUGUCCCUCAGCCUUAAUGUGGCCCUCCUUGUCUAUCUGACCAGCGCUUGUAAAUGCAAAAAGGGUGGACAGAAGAGAGCUAAAGAAGAAGAUAGUACCUACAUCUCAUUGGACAAGGCAGACGUGUCUCCUGAAUAUGACAUCAUCUCCCCGAAUCCCCAUUGAUCCUCUGCUUGUGAUACACUUCUACUUUAUUUUAGCGUUUGGUUCUGCUUGAUUUUGCUCUUUUAUUUCAAUUUAAAUUAUUUUCUAUUGCUAUACUUUUUGUUGUUGUUGCUUGAGCCCUGAAAACAUUUUGACGUGAAUGAAUUCAACCUAUUUUCUGAAUAAUGUCUCAGGAUUUAUGCACAAAAAAUGACUAAAUUGUAACAGUUUUUCUGUAAAAGCACAUACGGAAGCUACAAGUUAGUGUUAUCUUCCUCAUGUUCAACUAUGUUAAUCAAAAUGGUAUGCAGAUAAUCAAGGGACCACAGUAUGGAACGCCGUUUGGGUCUUUCCGUGUCAAAAAAGAUACACAUCAAAUAACACUAUUUGACACAUUGAAUAAGCUUUUAAUUUGACAUGUAAAAAAAACAAUUUAAUUGUAGAAUGUUGUGAUGGACCGCAACUUCUGGGCUAGCAGCUAGCUUUAGCUUAGUCCCCAGCAAGAGGUGUUGUUCGCCUGUUGAAAUUGAACUUCAGUUCAUGACAAGAAAUAGCAAGCCAGCUCCUAAACCCUGGUGCCCAAAGUUAACGUUAUAUACUGCCAGCUAGCUUCAUGAGGCUCGACCAGACCAGGUUAUGUGUUAUGAAGCUAGCCACAAUAAGGAGUAGGCACAAUAGUGGAAUUUGCGAUUUGACUUCAAAAUAAAAGUUCCUCUUUGAAAGUGAUGCUGAAGGUAACAACUGGUGGAAUCGUGCCAUAUUUAGAUUAGAUCAUGUUAAACAAGGUUGGAAUGUGAAGCAAUGAAAUGGGGUAUCAGUCUACUCGGUGACACCCACAGAACACGACUGUGAAGAGUUUACUCAAAUAUUAGUGUUGUAGCUCUUAUUGCGGGACUGUGACUGUGUGAAAUCGCCUCCCCAGUCAGCCUAUUGUGUGUAUUGACAUUCAUAUUGUACUGUACAGCUUUACCUAAGGCUUGGGGAUCAAUGAAAUAGGGUAUCAGUCUACUCAAUACUCAAUAUAUUUUUUCCCAACGUCCUCCUCAGAGUCCUCCUUAUCAGACUCCAAAACAUCCACGUGGUAUUGUUUUUCCUCUGGAAUAGUGUUCAAUAUACAUAGCUUGACAAUAAAUGUGUCUCAGUUCAGUUGUUUCAGAGUCCAGCAAUAAGAGCUACAGUACGACGAUAAUGUUCUCUGGGUGUCCUGAGUAGACUGAGACCCCAUGUCAUUGAUCCACAAUCUAUAGGUAAAGCUGUACUGUGAAAUAACUAUUUAAUUCACUUUUAUUUAACCGGGUAGGCCAGUUGAGAACAAGUUCUCAUUUACAACUGCGACCUGGCCAAGAUAAAGCAAAGCAGUGCGACAAAAACAACAACAGAGAGUUACACAUAAA